CCUACGUUCCUGAGACUGGUCUUGAACUCACGGACUCAAGCAACCUUCCACCUCACCAGGUUGGGGCAAAAUGAGCAUUCUCACCGUCUGACCUAGGGUGGCAGUGGGGCACCAGCACCCCAGCUGGACGCAAAUGCAAUUCGACUAGGCACAUCUCUGGCACCAAGCACUUCCUGU